rnacentral:rRNA from 1 species
GACGAACGCUGGCGGCGUGCUUAACACAUGCAAGUCGAACGGAAAGGCCUUUUCGGAGGUACUCGAGUGGCGAACGGGUGAGUAACACGUGGGUGAUCUGCCCUGCACUCUGGGAUAAGCCUGGGAAACUGGGUCUAAUACCGGAUAGGACCGCACCUUAGUGUGUGUGGUGGAAAGUUUUUUCGGUGUAGGAUGAGCCCGCGGCCUAUCAGCUUGUUGGUGGGGUAAUGGCCUACCAAGGCGGCGACGGGUAGCCGGACUGAGAGGUUGGCCGGCAACAUUGGGACUGAGAUACGGCCCAGACUCCUACGGGAGGCAGCAGGGGGGAAUAUUGCACAAUGGGCGCAAGCCUGAUGCAGCGACGCCGCGUGGGGGAUGACGGCCUUCGGGUUGUAAACUCCUUUCGCCAGGGACGAAGCGUUUUGUGACGGUACCUGGAGAAGAAGCACCGGCUAACUACGUG